CAGAUUUAAUCCGGAUUUUCAAAAAUCUAGGAUUAAAUUUAGUACUCCGUUUGGUAAGCACCAAAGUCGGUAAUAACUGAAAAGAAUGCAGCCACUUGCAAAAGUGUAAGUUGUGUGCGUGUGAGAAUGUCUGCACAAAAGGAAAGUUAUUUUCAACCUAUUUUGUUUUAUUCUCACACCUUCGUAAACAAACAAACUCCGAUAGUUUACGAUAUUGAGCUAAUCAAAUUUUAAUUGGCGAAAGAUUGAAAGAAUUUUGUAGAACCAGGACCCAAAGGAACACCGAAAACUCCACACUGCAAGCGACCUUAGAACAUGUUACGGAGAUCCGACGAAUCCGCACAUGCCUCCGUCUUUCCAAUGUUUGAUUCCACGCAGUAAACCGAAGUGGCCAGCUUUACCUAUGUCAUGAUGGUGCAUAUUGGUUUUCCAUCCGGAGCAGCUUCCGGAUAUAGUUCUGUUAAUUCAGAAGGAGAUACUCCUAGUUAGCUCAACAUGCCAAGCGAUUUGGUUCUCAAACGUAACAAAAUUGGCACCAUGUAGCGUCCCGAAGCGCUCAAAACAUGAAACUGUGGAAGAAUUUGGUCACCUUCGGUCGUGUCCUCCGCAUUUGAAUCAGAGGUGAUUCUUCAAACUGUACCAGACCUGAGAGAUGAGGUAUUUAAAAAGAACCUUAAUUAGUGAAACAGGUAUCCCACAAAAGAAUGGUAACGUGACAAUGUGAUACGCAUCCACGUCAUGUCAGUAAAUCUAUUGGUUACCGUACUAUCCUCCCACUAGGCCGGUGAAAGGGCCACGACGUUGUCAUAAUCUUUGAAACUUAGAAAAAUUUCUUGAGCAUUGCAUGAGAGCUCAGACAUACGUAGAAUAGUAGGGGAAAGUCCUCUAUGCCCGGACAUUUUUUGUUUUUUUUUUCGUGAUAUUUCAAAAUCUACAUUAGUUUUACCUUUAAGUUUUGUUCAGUAUAAAUAAAUCACAUUAUUUUAAGUAAAAACUCACAUGAGAAUAAAAAUAAACCUUAACAAUUCA